rnacentral:rRNA from 1 species
UCCUGCUAAAGGAAUCUUUUGCUUGUCCUAAAAGCACAGGUGAAUAAGGGGUGGGCAAGUCUGGUGUCAGCCGCCGCGGUAAUACCAGCACCUCGAGUGGUCAGGACGUUUAUUGGGCCUAAAGCAUCCGUAGCCGGUUUUGCAAGUCUCCGGUUAAAUCCACCUGCUCAACAGAUGGGCCGCUGGAGAUACUACAAAACUAGGGAGUGGGAGAGGCAGACGGUAUUCAGUGGGUAGGGGUAAAAUCCUCUGAUCCUCUGAGGACCACCAGUGGCGAAGGCGGUCUGCCAGAACACGUUCGACGGUGAGGGAUGAAAGCUGGGGGAGCAAACCGGAUUAGAUACCCCCGUAGUCC